rnacentral:tRNA from 1 species
GUGGGUGUAGCUCAGUGGUAGAGUGCCUGCUUAGCAUGCAUGAGGUCCUGGGUUCAAUCCCCAGUACCCCA